GUGGGGAAUCUUGCGCAAUGGGCGAAAGCCUGACGCAGCAACGCCGCGUGCGGGAUGAAGGCCUUCGGGUUGUAAACCGCUGUCAAGAGGGACGAAGCGAAAGUGACGGUACCUCUAGAGGAAGCCCCGGCUAACUACGUGCCAGCAGCCGCGGUAAUACGUAGGGGGCAAGCGUUGUCCGGAUUUAUUGGGCGUAAAGCGCGCGUAGGCGGCUUGUCAAGUCGGGUGUGAAAACCGGGGGCUUAACCCGCGGACUGCACUCGAAACUGGCAGGCUGGAGUCCGGUAGAGGAAAGUGGAAUUCCUAGUGUAGCGGUGAAAUGCGCAGAUAUUAGGAAGAACACCAGUGGCGAAGGCGGCUUUCUGGGCCGCGACUGACGCUGAGGCGCGAAAGCUAGGGGAGCGAACAGGAUUAGAUACCCUGGUAGUCC
rnacentral:rRNA from 1 species